rnacentral:rRNA from 1 species
AUAAGAGCGUAUGGUGGAUGCCUUGACACAAAAUGGCGAUGAAGGACGUAGCGUAGCUGCGAAAAGCCCCGGGGAGGUGUGUAGCAACCUUUGAUCCGAGGAUAUCCGAAUGGGGAAACCCUUUGGCGUAAACCGCCAAAAGUCCCGAACUUGUUUCGGGACAGCAUACCCGCUGAAGUGAAACUUCUCAGUAAGCGGAGGAAAAGAGAAAAAUUUUAUUCCGUUAGUAGCGGCGAGCGAAACCGGAACAGCCCAAACUUGUAUAUGUUUCGCAAGAAAUGUACACAAGGGUUGUAAGGUAAGAACAUUUUAGAGAUAUGAAAUAGGAUCAAUAUAGUAUCCUAUUUCGUGUUUCUAAAAAGAGGUUAUAAAUUGAUUUGCUAGUUGAAUGGGAUGGAAAGCCCAACCAGAGCAGGUGAUAGUCCUAUAGACGAAAGCAAAUCAACCUCUGUUUUUAUUCUUAAGUACCCCGAGGCCAAUAAACCUUGAGGGAAUCCGCCAGUACUAUCUGGCAAGGCUAAAUACAUUUUGUGAUCGAUAGUGAACUAGUACCGUGAGGGAAAGGUGAAAAGCAGGCCGGGAGGCCGGUGAAAUAGUACCUGAAACCAUAUGCUUACAAGGACCUGAAGGCUGAUGUUCGCCGCAAGGCGGAAUGGCUAACAGGGUGCCUAUUGAAGAAUGAGCCAACGAGUUUACGUCUGUUGCAAGUCUAAGCCGCUUCGGCGGUGAAGGCAUAGGGAAACCGAGUGUUAAUAGCGCGUUAGCAGCGAGCGUAAGACCCGAAGCCAAGGCGAGCUUACCCUGUCCAGGAUGAACCCCGAGUAAAAUCGGGGGGAGGUCCGAACUGGUGGGUUGUGCAAAACCCUCGGAUGAGGUGGGGUAAGAAGUGAAAAGCUAAUCGAGCUUGGUAAUUGCUGGUUCUCUCCGAAAUAGUUUUAGGACUAGCGGUUGGAGAUCUGUAUACGGGGGUAGAGCUACUGGUUCGAGAUUAUAGGGCGAAAGCUCGAAUCUCGAGUCAAACUCCGAAUACCGUAUAUAUUGUCCAACUAGUCAGACUACGGGGGCAAAGCUCCGUGGUCGCGAGGGAAAAAGCCCAGAUCGUCGUCUAAGGCCCCCAAAUUUUUGUUAAGUGUUAAAGGUAGUUUUCAACCAUAGACAGAUAGGAGGUUGGCUUAGAGGUAGCCAUCCUUUAAAGAGUGUGUAACAACUCACUAUUCGACGGUCGGAAGCGCCGAAAAUGUAUCAGGGCUAAACAAAAUGCCGAAGACACGGAUUCUAGCGCAUCUCACUAAAGUGAGAUGCUUAAAUGUUCAAAUUUUAAAUUAUUAAUUUUAAAUUAAAUCAAAAUGACAAAAUGUUUAAAAAUUUGUUAAUUUGGUCAUUCAUUUAAAAUUGAAAAUUAGAAAUUGAAAAUUUCAGAGCACCGAACUUUAGUGAGGUGCGUUGGAGUGGUAGGAGAGCAUUCUUAAUGCUGCGAAGGAGGAUCCGCGAGGACCUCUGGAGCGUUAAGAAGAGAGAAUGUUGGUAUGAGUAAUCACAAACCCAAUGAGAAAUUGGGUCCCCGAAAAUCCAAGGUUUCCGUGGCAAUGGCAAUCAUCCACGGGUUAGGCGAUCCUAAGGCAAUGGCGAGAGCCGCAGCUGAUGGGAAGCCGGUUAAUAUUCCGGCCCGUCUAUAAACGCGCGAUGGAGAGACGGAGAAAAUAAGCUUGAGCGCCUUAAUGGUUUGGCGUCGCUGAGUUUAAGAAUUGGCAUCCAGGAAAAUCCGGGUGCUUGCCUUCAAUGGCGAAAUUCGCGGCUUGGCGUAAGGUCGGGUUUUACCCGGCUAAUUCAAGUGAAGAGACUUCCGAGAAAAACUUCUAAGUUUAGUUUGUAGACACCGUACCGUAAACCGACACAGGUGGGUGAGGCGAGAAGCCUCAGGGGAACGAGUGACUCUUCGUUAAGGAACUCGGCAAAAAAGCGGCCGUAAGUUCGCAAUAAGGCCUGCCCUUCGCAAGAAGGGCCGCAGCUAAAGUAUCUCUGGCGACUGUUUACCAAAAACACAGCUCCCUGCUAACUCGCAAGAGGAUGUAUAGGGGGUGACGCCUGACCGAUGCGAGAAGGUUAACGAUGCCGGUACUUCUAAAAGCAAUUUUGGGAGCGCUGAGUGUCCGAAGCCCUCGUCAAUGUCAGCGGUAACUAUAACCGUUCUAAGGUGAAUUAAAUUGCUUUAGUAAAAUUUGGCUAUAUGCUGGAACGUCUGUGGAUAAAAUCCUUCAGAGUCGGCAUUACUAUGGUAUAAUACGACCAUAGUGAAAAUAUGACCGAUGCAGAUAAUCAGCAGGAAAGGCUAGAAAUUAGUAAUUGGAUAACCGGUUUCACCGACGGUGAAGGAUGCUUCACUAUCUCUGUAAUCAAAAAUCCAACUACGAGAUUUAGGAAGCAGAUUUUUCCGGAAUUUGUUAUUACGCAAGGCGCGAAAAGUUUAUCCGCGCUAGAAAAAAUCAAAAAGUUUUUCAAUUGUGGAAGUAUCGUUUUAAACAAACGAUACGACAAUCACAAUGAACAUCUUUACAGAUAUUGCGUGAGAUCAAUUUCGGAAUUGCAUACUAAAAUAGUUCCUUUCUUCAAAAAUUUUCCACUCCGAACAUACAAGCGCAAUGACUUUCUUGUUUUCAAGAGAGUUGUGGCGAUGAUGGUCAGGAAAAAACAUUUGACCGAAUCGGGAUGGGAAAAGAUUCUUAAACUCGCAAGUUUAACGAAUCGGAAGAAAGUACGUUUCUAGAAUCCUCAGAGACUAUACGCCAAACCCGUUGCACGCAACGGUGAAGAUAUAGUCCGAACUGCAUAGCGAUAUGCAGAGAUAAGUAGAAAUACUUAUCCGAAAUUCAUGAUUCCUGCCUGCCGGCAGGCAGGCAUAAUUCUUGAUUCAUGAUUCUCGUAACACAUUUGAGCGCAAUUCCUUUUCGGGUAAGUUCCGAAGCGCACGAAUGGCGUAACGACUGGAGAACUGUCUCAACGAAGAGCUCGAUGAAAAUGCGAUUCCCGUGAAGACGCGGGAUACCCGUAGCAAGACGAAAAGACCCCGGGAGCUUUACUGUAGUUUGGUAUUGGCUUCAAAACUUAAAUGCGUAGCGUAGUGGUGAGGGGAUGAAAUCCGCCUUUUGGGGCGGAUGG